CCUACGGGAGGCUGCAGUGGGGAAUAUUGCACAAUGGGCGCAAGCCUGAUGCAGCCAUGCCGCGUGUGUGAAGAAGGCCUUCGGGUUGUAAAGCACUUUCAGCGGGGAGGAAGGCGUUAAGGUUAAUAACCUUGUCGAUUGACGUUACCCGCAGAAGAAGCACCGGCUAACUCCGUGCCAGCAGCCGCGGUAAUACGGAGGGUGCAAGCGUUAAUCGGAAUUACUGGGCGUAAAGCGCACGCAGGCGGUCUGUCAAGUCGGAUGUGAAAUCCCCGGGCUCAACCUGGGAACUGCAUUCGAGACUGGCAGGCUAGAGUCUUGUAGAGGGGGGUAGAAUUCCAGGUGUAGCGGUGAAAUGCGUAGAGAUCUGGAGGAAUACCGGUGGCGAAGGCGGCCCCCUGGACAAAGACUGACGCUCAGGUGCGAAAGCGUGGGGAGCAAACAGGAUUAGAUACCCCAGUAGUC
rnacentral:rRNA from 1 species